CGCAGCCACUAGUAGUGGUUCAUGGAGGUGCAAGGAGGCAGGUAUAAGUGACAGAGAGCAGGAGGAGGGAUUCGGCAUUCCAGAGGCCAAUGUGGGGCACAGAAGUUUGUUUAUAUUUCUGUUCCAGUGACUCCUGUGAAAUACCCUCUGUCUGGAUAAGGAACACACAGUGAGUGAAGGAAAGCAUGCCUGGUAUUUCUUGAAACGUCAAGAUGCUGAUUUUCAAAAGAACAUUCCAAGAAGAAAAUGAAAGUUUUUUUCCACUUGUUUUGAAAGCAGAAAGAGCAGAAUUUGGACAGCCCUACAUUGGAGGCCUAUCAGAGAACUGAAGAAAUUUUGUAUCUGAACAUCUGUUGAGUUGCAGUCUGGAUUAAAGAUUAAAAAAUAGAAGAAAGGAGAACCGGAGCCUUGAAGAUGGACGUCAACGGUUUUCUUAUGAACAGUGGAUAGGCAGAUGGUUUGUCUGGUUAUUGGUGGGCAAGAA
rnacentral:lncRNA from 11 species